rnacentral:tRNA from 2 species
CCGACCUUAGCUCAGUUGGAAGAGCGUCAGACUGUAAUUGGAUAACUUGAUUUUCAUCUGAAUGUCGCCUGUUCGAACCAGGCAGGUCGGA